GGGUGUCAGUGCGGGCAAGUUGCAUGGAAAUGCACGCCGUGGAGGGUGAGAGCCCCGUCCAACCCACACAGGACACGCCGUACGAGAGCGUUUCAGGCGAGUCGGGUAGCUUGGGAAUGCUGCUCUAAUCGGUGGUAAAUCUCAUCGAAGGCUAAAUAGCGGCUGGAGACCGAUAGCGAACAAGUACCGUGAGGGAAAGAUGACAAGCACUUUGAAAAGAGGGUGAAAAGAGCCUGAAACCGUCAUGGGGGAAGCGGAUCGCGUUGGCCUGGUGGGCGCCUGUGUGUUCAGCCUUCGGGUGCAUUGGCACAGGUGCUUAUCCGCUGUGGGUUUUCGGGGGUCGAUUUUGGAUCCCUGGAGGCUGAGGGCUCCCUUCGGGUGAGGACAGCGGAGUGACGACGCGAUACGACCCGUCUUGAAACACGGACCAAGGAGUCUAGCGCGGGUGCGAGUCGGAGGGUGCAAGCCCGUGGGCGAAGUGAAAGCGAGUGUAAAAACGAGCAGUUUGGGGCGGCAUAAGAUCGUUGAUCUCAAGACCGACCCAGAGCAGUUGCGCUGGGACCCGAAAGAUGGUGAACUAUGCCGGAGUAGGGCAAAGCCAGAGGAAACUCUGGUGGAGGCUCGUAGCGGUGCUGACGUGCAAAUCGCUCGUCCAACUUGGGUAUAGGGGCGAAAGACUAAUCGAACCAUCUAGUAGCUGGUUCCCUCCGAAGUUUCUCUCAGGAUAGCGGGCCGACAAGUUGUUUUGUGCGGUAAAGCGAAUGAUUAGCGCACGUGGGGCCAUUUCGGCUUCAGGCGAUUCUCAAACUUUAAAUGCGCAAGGGUGUCGCUGCUUAAUUGAGCGGCACCGCUAAAAACGUCGGCCCUGUGGGCCACUUUUGGUAAGCA
rnacentral:rRNA from 1 species